CGUCCUUCCCCUCGGGCCUGGCAUCCUCCGCCCGAGGGCAGGACCACCCCAUCCCGUGUGUCCCCGGGCCGUCCACAGCCUCUCUCCCCAGAGCCUAGACCACCUGGACACCCCGCCCCGGGCAUCGGGCGCGGGCCCACCUGUGCGAGGUGAGCACCACGGAGCGGCCCUCCCGCACCACGGCCAGGAGGCUGUUCCAGAGGAAGCGCCGCGUGCCGGGGUCCAUGCCGGUGGUCGGCUCAUCCUGGGGUGCGGGAGACGCUUAAGCCAGGCCCCGCCCCAGCCCGGCCCGGCCCGGCCCUCGUCCCAGCCCCGCCCCACGCACCAGAAAGACCACGGCCGGGUCCCCCACCAGCGCCACGGCCGUCGCCAGCUUCCGCUUGUUGCCGCCGCUGUAGGUGCCCGCGGGCCGGUCCGCGUACUGCGGGAGCCCCAGGCGCGCCAGGCCCAAGCUCGCCGUCUGCGGGGCGGGCCGGAGUCGGGGGGACACCGGAGUGAAUAGGAGCAUGGGGGGGCGGAGUGAGCCCGGCGGGGGCCCGAAUGAGAGUGGGGGGACCGAAUGAGGGGGGAGGUGGGCCAGGGGGAGCAUGGCGGGGCACAGUGUGGGGUGGGGGCCGGACUGACUAAAGGGUGCACUGGGGGCCAGAGCGAGCAUGGGGCGGGGCCCGGUGAGUGGGAGGGGCCGGGGCGAGGAUGCAGGUGGGGAAAGGGGCGGGGCUCAGGGAGGGGAGCCGCACCUGGCGCAGGCGCAGGAAGGCGCGAAGCGGGAGGUGGAGUCACGGUGAGCGGGCGGGGCCACGGCCGGGAGGAGAGGAGGGGAGGGGUGGCCCCCGAAGCAGGGCGGGGGUCAGGGUGCGGCCAGGAGGACGGCGGGGAGCUGGGGACCCCCGCGAGGGUGGGAGCCGGGGAGGGCGGGGGCGUGGCCCAGCAGAGCCCAAGUGGGUGGCGGGUCACCUGGGCGACCUGCGCCUCGGGGACGCCGCGCAGGCGCGCGAACAGCUCCAGGUGCUCCCGGCCGGUCAGCAGCUCGAAGACGGCGUCCGACUGCGGGCAGUAGCCCAUGCGGCGGUGCGCGGCGGCCGGCUCCUGGGCCACGCUGGGGUCGGGGCGCAGGCGGCUCAGGGCACGGGCCAGGCCCCGGCCAGGCUGGAGGCCCCCCACCCUGGAGCCCCUGGUAAGGGACAGGGGGUGUGUACCAGGCCCCAUCCACCUGCAGGGGCUGGGCCCGCGCGCGCUCGCAGAGCCCCCUCACCUGUGGCCGGCCAGCACGGCCUCGCCCCCGCUGGGCAGCAUGUCCCCGGUCACCAUGCGAAACGUGGAGGUUUUCCCGGCUCCGUUCACGCCCAGCAGCCCGAAACACUGCGGGUUCACCGCGCACGGCGCUCAGCAAGGCCCCGCGCCAGCCCGGGGCCUCGGGUUCCCAGGGUGGGUCCUCAGUUUCCCCGUGAAGGGCUGUGGACAAGGGGGCCCCGAGGGGCAGAUACCGGGAGCGUGUGGGGAGGCAUAAAGCUGUCCCUUAGCAGGAACGGCCCCUGCCACUCGGUGGGCACUCGGGCAGGGUGCACAGUCAGCCUGAGUUGGAGUGCUGGCUGGCACAUAGUAGGCACCUGAUAAAGAGUGACUGCCACUUACGCCGACACGCCACGUGUUUGCAGGUGUCACAGGUACCGGCCCCAAGAGGCUGCCACUAACUGGCACACAGAAAUUAAGUCUGCACAUAGUAGGCGCUUGAGUGUGAACUGGGACAAAGCGGGUGCGUGAUAGAUACUGGCUGUGAGCAAGUGCUUGAAACGGAUGUGUAUACAAUAGGGGCUCCAUAAAUGCUGUUGGCGCGUGAUAAAAGUUGAUCAUCACAGAUGUGGCAUUUGAUACGCCUUUGGUGCGCACAGUGGGUGCUCAGUAAAAGGUCGCAGGCGCACAGCAGUUGCUCAAUAAAGGGCAGGAGACUCAUAGUAAAUGUCCAAGAAAGGGUGGUAGGCACACAGAGGUGCUGAAUAAAGGCAGUGGGUGCGCAGUAGGGCAGCCUCUCGCUGCCCCUGCACCGGGACCUCCUCUCUGACUUACCUCACCGGGGGGGAUCCCCAGGCACAGGCGGUCAACAGCGGGUGUCCUCUGCCUGGGGUACACCUGAGGGGGAGCAGGUCCCUGAGAAAAGUGGCUGGGCUGGCGGGAGCCCCCCACCCACGCGCCCCUUGGCGGCACCCACCUUGGUCAGGUCCCGCAGCACCAAUAUGUCCCCCUCGGUGGCCCCUCGGACCACCCGCUCCCGCUCGCGGGCCACGUCCUCGUCCUCCUCCCCCAGGGGCGGCAGUGGCUUCAGCUUGGGUCUGAGGACAGAGACACAAGUGGGCCCCAAGCCGGCCCGCGGCCCCUGCCACCCUAUCCCGGGCCCCACUGACCUUGACAGGAGGCGGUUCCGGUGCUGGAGCAGGAGUGUGAAGAGGAGGAAGAGGGGCCCCUGCACCACCAUGGCCAAGAGGUUCUUGCCGACCACCUCCCAGCGCAGGGGCGACUGGAAAUCCCCAUUUCCUGUGGGGACAGGAAGGAGGGGCUGGCUCCUUGGAGGAUCUUGGUUACUGGACCCUUCCCCAUCCUAGAAACCUUGAGUUCUUACAGGAAAGGACCAAGAACUGGAUAGGCCACUCAACUGAGGUCUAAUUGGUAUAGAAAAACAGUGAUAUCACCACCUCCCUUAUUUAGGGCCUUAGACCCCUUGUGAUGUGACCCAAGAUAGAAUUAGCUUUUAUGGCUGCUUUGCUGCACCUCGAACGUGGCCCGACUCUGGGGCCAGCCGAGACCUUCAGUUUUAUUCCCGGGGGGCUGCUGCUUGUCCCCACCCUGUAUCAUCCCCUCUUGGCCGGCCCUUCUCCACCUGGAAGGAAGUUCUCACCAAAGCGCUCGAAGGCGUCGGCCAUGGCCUGGUUCCGCACCAUGUCGAUGAGCCCCCGGCCCAGGCAGAAGUGGGGGAAGAUGAGGAAGACUCGUUUCAGGAUCCGGCUCACGUCCUGCAGCUUCUGCUCCGGGAACAGGAGGCGGGAGGUGGGUCCGGGGCGAGGCCAACACCCCAGCCGCAGCCCCCGCCCCCCCGCGCCGCACCGGGCCUCCCCCCACGCCCCCCAGCCCGGCCCACCUCAUCGGAGAAGAGCUCGAGCACGAAGGUGGCCAUGCUGCCGUUGAUGCCGAUGAAGAGGUUGACGCAGUGGAGCGUGACGGAGGGCAAAUCCAGCCCGCAUCCCCCGAGACGACGGAGAAACUGAGGCAGCGGAGCCCACACAGGGCUGAGGGACUCACAUCGUGGCCUCGGACAGCUGCUCCUUGGUGCGCCCCCGGGAGUGCCCACCUGGGCACACGGCCUCCAGGUACCAAGUGGCGAGGCCGUAGAGCGCGGCAUCGAACAGCAGGAGGCCUGAGACCUGGGCCAGGCUGAAGACGUCGGCCGUAGGCCCGGUGCCCAUGUUGUGCCACCGCGCGCCCUCGCCCCGCUCCUCCAGCAGCGCCAGGCUCUCGCAGCCGAAGCCGAAGGCCACGGGCGACAGAAG
ensembl:lncRNA